rnacentral:hammerhead_ribozyme from 1 species
AUCCAACUGACGAGUUCAAAUUAGAACGAAAUGUGCAUACUGGAU